ACAUGCUCUCUGCCCUCUGGGGGUUGGGUUUGGGAGUGGAGACAAAGAGGUACACACAGUCCAAGGCCAUGGGUAAGAAGAGAGAAAGCAGAUUGUCCUGAGCCCCAAGUGUCUGUGAUUCUCUUAGCUAAGUAAGGAAUCAGUGCCAGAGACAGAGGUUGCUGGAGCUGAGAGGAGACGUAGUCAAGAAGAUUGGAGAAGGCUCUGCGGAGAAGGUGAACUUGAGCUAAGACUUGAAGGGAGGGCAGGCUUGAAGGGAUGAAACAGCCUCCUCUGUGCUAAAGAGAGGAGUGACAGGGCCAUCAUCAGGCAAAGGGGACAUUACCAGGCAAAGGGACACCAUUGGUCAAAGGCGAUGGUGGAGACAAGACAUUCUGGAAGAGCCCGGAUCAGAGAGAUUUGGGGCCAGGAGCCGGCAUCAGGGGACCGGCUCCCUAAGGAACCAUGGCACCACUGGCUCUCAGCUGGAAAUAAGCAGCAGAUGAAGCACAUGCAUCCUGAGUUUUGGCUCUGGUGAUGGUGGUGGAGCUGUUAAUUCUUGGAGUCCAAAUUCCUGCACCACCUCUGAGUUCCGAGGGGGUGGGGAAGAGCAAGUGAUGGCUGGACAGCAAAGAGGAGUGGAGGCCGGGAGAAUGGGCAGCUAGCCCAGCGCUCUCCAAUAUCUGGGAGUCGACCGCACUCCUGCACUCCCUGUCAUCCCUGCUAAUGGUAUUACCAUUGCUCCAAUCUUACAGAUGAGGAAACUCAGGCAUGGAGAGGUUGAGCGACUUGCCCAAAUUCAUGCAGUUAGGACCUGGCAGAGCUGCGCUUUGAACCCAGGCUGCCUGGCUCUAGAGUGUGUGCACGAAACUUCACUGCCAUAUGAACAAAACUGCAGGACAUAUGUUCUCAAAGCAAAUAAGCCUCCCAGAGAGGCUUUUCCUGAUGGCUUCAAGGACCUGCCCUAGCCUGGUCUGACUUCCCAGAGGGGAUCCAGUCCCAACAUUGGCCCUAUCUUUAGACCACAUUUCCAUCCCAUUCUCAGUGAAAACCCUGAGUCAUGACAGAAGACAACCAAUGCUGGAGAGAGGAGGUUUCAGGAUCUGAGGGGCACCCGCAGCAGUGCAGACGGACCGCUCCAUUCCGUCAGAGGCCACACUUAUUUCACCAGUUCCAUCCUGAUGUUUUCCAGACUUCUACAUAACAGAUGAUUCACCAGUGUGUCCCCCCAUGGAUGCCUCUGCUCACAUAGAAAGGGUUAAUUCUUGGAAGCUGAGGUGCUGUCAAAGGGCAUCUGACAGAUCAGCCGCCCUCUGCUCCAGGGGUGUGGUCUUCCUCUCCGACCCAUGAUGCGUGGCAGCCUGGCUGCCCACACCCUCAGAUCCCUGAGCAGCAGUGUCUCGCUGUGGUUUUAUCAGCAGUCUUUUUAAAUUAAUUUUUUUUUUUCUGUCACUUGCCUGGAUGGAAUCAGCAGUCUUUUUAUUAUGAGGGAGAUCAAGCACCUUUUCAUGUUAAAUCCCUCCUCCUUUUUUUAUCCUUUUCCUGUGAGCUACCUGUUUUUCUCUUUUAUCAGGCCUGGAUAUUUUGGGGCAAUGCUGGGCUGUCCUAGUACUCCCUGCCUGUUCCAGUUGAUCCAGGCUCCUUAAAGCUCCAACAGUGUGGAUUCUGUGAGCAUCAUGAAAGCCCAAGGGUGGUGGUCUCUCCAGGUGUCAGAGAGCCAAUGGUGAGUGAGAGAACCCCCCGGCCAGGGCAGCAGAGAAGCCUCAUGCCCACCAGUGCCAAUAGCCUGGCAUGGGAGCAGCCCUCUUUGUACAGGAAAAUGGGCCACAUUUGUCUUUAACAUUUGCUUCUUGUCCAAAGCAUUUUAGAGUGUGAUGGACAUGAAAUGAUGGAGACAGUGUGUAUCUACUUCCCUUGAAAGCUCCUCCAGCGAAUCCAGAGCCAGCAUCUUCCUGUAGCAUCUGCCCCUCCCUCCCUUUCAGGCCUGUGGUAACAUCUCCUCCUGCAGAACCUGGGCCCUGCUAUCCUGCUAUCAAAGGGUGGAGAGCCUGAUGGUCUGUGAAAUUCCCAGGGAAGGUUCAGGUAUCAGAAAUGCACUGAAGAACCACCUGAGCUCACUCUGUUAAUGGCGAUAUUUCACGUGAUUUAUCUGGAAGGGUUGGUAACUGAUAUGGUAACAAAUCUCAUCUUGAAUUCCCACAUGUUGUGGGAGGGAUCUGGUGGGAAGUAACUGAAUCAUGGGGGCAGGUCUUUUCUGUGCUGUUCUCUUGAUAGUGAAUAAGUCUAACGAGAUCUGAUGGUUUUAAAAAGAGGAGUUCCCCUGCACAAGCUCUCUCUCCCUGUCUGUCUGCUGCCAUCCAUGUAAGAUGUGGCUUGCUCCUCCUUGCCUUCUGCCAUGAUUGUGAGGCUUCCCCAGCCACUUGGAACUGUAAGUCCAAUUAAACCUCUUUCUUUUGUAAAUUCCCCAGUCUCGGGUAUGUCUUUAUCAGC
rnacentral:lncRNA from 1 species